UGGGGUGUGGCUCAGCGGUAGAGCACUUGCUUUGCAAGCGUGAGGUACUGGCUUCGAUCCCCAGCACCACAU
rnacentral:tRNA from 1 species